AAUCUUUGAACGCAUCUUGCGCUCUUUGGUAUUCCGAAGAGCAUGUCUGUCUGAGUGUCACGAAACUCUCAACCYCCCUUUCCUUUGUGAUCGGCUGGUUGGAUCAUGGGCGCUUGCCGGCCAGGUCGGCUCGCCUGAAAUGCAUUUGCGAUGUUGUGUCCU
rnacentral:rRNA from 1 species